CGGACGGGUGAGUAAUGUCUGGGAAACUGCCUGAUGGAGGGGGAUAACUACUGGAAACGGUAGCUAAUACCGCAUAACGUCGCAAGACCAAAGAGGGGGACCUUAGGGCCUCUUGCCAUCGGAUGUGCCCAGAUGGGAUUAGCCAGUAGGUGGGGUAACGGCUCACCUAGGCGACGAUCCCUAGCUGGUCUGAGAGGAUGACCAGCCACACUGGAACUGAGACACGGUCCAG
rnacentral:rRNA from 1 species